rnacentral:rRNA from 1 species
GACGAACGCUGGCGGCGUGCUUAACACAUGCAAGUCGAACGGAAAGGCCCUGCUUUUGUGGUGUGCUCGAGUGGCGAACGGGGGAGUAACACGUGUGUAACCUGCCCUUGACUUUGGGAUAACUUCAGGAAACUGGGGCUAAUACCGGAUAGGAGCCCCUGCUCCAUGGUGGGGGUUGGAAAGUUUCGGCGGUUGGGGAUGGACUGGCGGCUUAUCAGCUUGUUUGUGGGGUAGUGGCUUACCAAGGCUUAGACGGGUAGCCGGCCUGAGAGGGUGGACGGCGACAUUGGGACUGAGGUAGGGCGCAGUCUGCUACGGGAGGCAGCAGUGGGGAGUAUGGCACAGCGGGCGGAAGCGUGAUGAGGAAACGCCGCGUGCGGGAUGCCGGCCUUCUGGUUAUAAACCGCUUUCGCCUGAGACGAAGCGGGAGUGACGGUAAUGGGUAAAGAAGCACCGGCUAACUACGUG